UAACACCCUUUUGUGGGAUUUUUUUAAGGGUUAAAAUUAGGUACACGUAUUCAUCGUUUUCUAGCAAUUGAGGUUUCUGAGUUUUGGAUUUGGCAGCUCGCCAUUUCAGUAGAGCGUUUACAGCUUUGUCUACUGUUUUGGGGCUUACACUAGAAGAUGGUGGCGUCGCGGCCAUUGAUGGCUACAGGAAGAGGAGGAGAGAGAGCGAAAGAGCCUAUGCUCCAGCAGCACUUAAGCAGAGGAGAAGGCGUUGUUUUGGGGAGAGAAGUGAGCAAUAAGGGUUUUUCGGCUGCUACAGGAAUGAGGUGGUUG
rnacentral:misc_RNA from 1 species